AUACGGAAGGUGCAAGCGUUAGUCGGAAUUACUGGGCGUAAAGGGUGCGUAGGCGGUGAUAUAAGUCGGGCGUGAAAUCCCGAGGCUCAACCUCGGAACUGCGUACGAUACUGUAUCACUUGAGGAAUGGCGGAGAAAAUGGAAUUCCAUAUGUAGCGGUGAAAUGCGUAGAUAUAUGGAAGAACACCUGUGGCGAAAGCGGUUUUCUAGCCUUCUCCUGACGCUGAGGCACGAAAGCAAGGGGAGC
rnacentral:rRNA from 1 species